rnacentral:lncRNA from 1 species
CUGCAGCUCAUGCCAGGGCAUGUGAAGACAGAGCUAACUGGAGUGCAUGGGGUGCCUUUGGGUGGAGGUUGCUGAUGGCUGGGACAGAUGCACCCUGCCCACUGUCUCCUCUGGGGACAGUGACAUCUUUCCCUGCUCUGAUAGCUUGAAAGGACCUGCAUGGCUGAGCUGCCCAGGGGAGCAUUGAGGUGCUUCCUCUGUGUCCUGAGGAGCCAGGUGCUCUCUGCACCCCCAGCUGCUGGAGCCCAGAGGGUGGCAGCCUGGAGCUGGGGCAGCGGUGCCUGGUGCAGUGAGGACUCGGUCUGUGUGGCCUGGUUAGCACAGGACCAUGAGGAAGGGGUGAGGACCAUCAAUAAGAGGCCAUCUCCAAGGCCUGCCUUCAGAGGCAAGCUCUUCUCUCCCACACAAUUGCUUUGAUCCUCGUGGGAAAUGUGGUGGACCCUUUUAAGGGGCGGCAGAGAGCACUGGAGGAGAGAGAAAGGGGCCAGCAGGCACAUGGGAGAUACCUUGACCUCAGGGAACCACUGUUUCAAACCAGAAAGGAUCUUUUAUACCUUGCUGUCAUGCAGCCAAACCAGGCGGACAUACGAGCAAGCAGGUGCACCCACGCAUCUGUACAUGAGCAGUGCGGACAAGUGGCUGCAGGAGGCCCCCGGCCUGUCUCAGGCACUAGCACAGGACUAUUCAUCACUGGUUCCUGCAUUUCUUUCAGGUUUGGCCAAGGCAUCCCCAGGGACAAGCACGGAUGACAGCAGAUGCUGCUGUCUCUUGGGGCCUGCACCUCGGCAGAGGCUGAUUCCAGCUUGCAGUUCUCCGCCACUUGCAGGUUGCCCUGGAGUUUGCAGUAUGCAUUUACAACUAAUCCAAGUCCACUUUGAAAUAAUUCUAUACUGCUUCAAGGUCAUGGAGGACAUUCAGGACUUGAGCACUUACCAAAUCACCUUUGAAGUGGAGCCCUGUGUGUGCUGAGACCACUAGGACCCUGGAACGGGUGCCCGUCACUCACAGAGCCUGUCAGCUUCAGAGGCUGGAAAUGGAAAUCCCAGGCCUACUUGUACACAGGAAUCUCCUGGAGCGAGGAUGUCCUCUUUUCUGAUACCCGCAGAACUGGCAUUUAAGGGGAUGCCUGUGCAGUAUAGCGAAGGAUAGAGCCUCAGAAAUAGCCCUUCUGGAUCAAUCACGUCUCUAGUUUCUAUAAAUGGAAGCUUAACAUCUGCUCUGCAUGUGUAUGCCAGAUCCACCUUGUUCUGGACAACCCUGUGACAUGCCUGAGUCACCCAGCCUUGGCCCUUCCCUGCUCACUGCCUCCUCUCCCUCCUUCGAGAGAAGUCAUCCUCCCAGGAAUGUGCUUUUCAAAUACAAACCAACCAAUCCAGAGUCCACACACCGUACUAACUGGGCUCUCAUGAUCCAGGCCACUGUCCUCCUGCCCUAAUCACCUCAGGGCCAGGUACCAGACAACCAAGGACAGCACCUGUGCCCCAGAGCCUGCGGAGAUUACCUACUCACCCUGCCUCGCCCAUUCCUUCCUGCAGAAAACACAACUCAGACUCUUGCCCACAGUUCCCCAGCCCCUCUUGUGACUGACCCUGGUGCCUCCCCAUGUGACCCCACCAUGGCAUCAUGGGGGCUCCCUCUCUUGGGACCUGUUGGCAUGAUAAGCUAUGUUUCCAAUAGCAGUCAUCUCCUCAUCUCGGCCUCAUCACACCUAAAGAAUAAUAAAACCCGUUGAAACACCUUCAACUCAACAGGACAGACUGGCCCAUUGGAAUCAUUUAGACUUGCAGACAUUUUGUUCAUGCUGUACAGCGUUUCUUCCAGGUACUCUGUUUCGCAGCAGAAAGAGCAGGGCUGAGAUUCACAGACCUGACUUCAGAUCCCCCUUCUAUCACUUACUAGCAUGUGGUCAUCUAUAAUUUACAUAGAUGUGGAAUAAUCCACAGUUUUGAGUAUUUUACUCUCUAGACCUGUGGAAAAUUACUGCUUCCUUUAGUCCUAAAUGUGGAAAAGAAAAUUUGUGUUUAUAUUGUGCCACAAUCUGGGGGGAGGGAGGGAGGGAGAAAAAUGUCAUAUCUGAAACACUCAAAUGAAAACCUUAUAUGUUACUACAUACAUAAAUAUUCAUAUUUAUAGAUAUGUAAAUGUUUAUUUAAAUGUCAGUGGCACCUUCAUUAUUGCGGAUAAGUAGCCCUGGGUGAACAGUCUGUAUUUAUCAACAUCGAGAUUGAAAUUAAGGCUAACCAUUGACCUCAGCCUGCAAUUGACGUAGUUGACGCACUCUUUCAGAGUCAGAUGAUAGUUCAUCAGUAAAAUGAGAAUAAUAAUAACUACUUCCUAAUAUGGUACAGGAUUAAUUGAGAUACAUUUUGUAAAGGACUCCAAAGGAUGUCUUACACAAAGGAGAAGCUUAAGGAGCUCAUCCCUCUAACUCAGUCACCUGAAGAUCUCAUGGGUAAAGUCAGAGACAUCCUCACCCUGAAGAGAGUAGUGCAGGCAAGUGUGGGAAUGCUGUGUGUGGCAGAGACGACCCUGACCCUGGUCUUCUAAAUCAUUUAGAAGAACCGUGUUCUUUCUGAUGAAGAUUCCCACCUGAAAAUGUUCAUAUCAAGGUGACUGAUGUUCUAGAGCAGCAUUGUCCAGCGAAACUUUCUUCAGUGAUGGGAAGGUCCUGUGCCUCUGCUGUCCAGGAUGGCAUCCACUCCCACCUUUACCUACUGAGCACUUGAAAUGUGGCGACUGCAACUGAGGAGCUGAAUUUUUUUAUUUAAUUUAAAUUUAAGUUUAAAUUUAGGGAACCACAUGUGGCUCAUAGCUACCACGUUGGCAUAGACCUAGAGCUCAUCUAAAAAGUGAAACAAGUGUGGAUCCUCCUAUAACUAAGAAAAAAGAAAACUUACCCUUUCAUCUUGAGGUAGGAGGUGGGACUCAAUUCUGGAAGCAGGGCUCAGACAUUGGACCAAAUUGAGGACUAGUUAAAAUAGGAACUAGGAAUGGGGUGGAGACACCUUUCCAUAAGACAUGCCCACCAGUGUGCCAUGUCAAUUUACCAUUGUUGUGGCAACACCUGGAAGUUACCACCCCUUUCCAUGGCAAUGACCUGAUGACCCAGAAGUUACCACCCCUUUUCUAGAAAUUUCUGCAUAACACGCCCCUUAAUUUAUAUAUAAUUAAAAAUAGGUCUAAAUAUGACUACAGACCUGUCUCUGAGCUGCCACUCUGGGCACACUGCCUAUGGGGUAGCCCUGCUCCACAAGGAGUUAUACCUCUGCUGCUUCUAUACACAGCCGCUUCAAUAAAAGUUGCUGUCUAUCACCACUGGCUCACCCUUGAAUCCUUUCCCAGGCAAAGCCAA